AAUCCAUAGGUUAAUGAGGCGAACCGGGGGAACUGAAACAUCUAAGUACCCCGAGGAAAAGAAAUCAACCGAGAUUCCCCCAGUAGCGGCGAGCGAACGGGGAGGAGCCCAGAGCCUGAAUCAGCAUGUGUGUUAGUGGAAGCGUCUGGAAAGGCGCGCGAUACAGGGUGACAGCCCCGUACACAAAAGCGCAUGUGCUGUGAGCUCGAUGAGUAGGGCGGGACACGUGGUAUCCUGUCUGAAUAUGGGGGGACCAUCCUCCAAGGCUAAAUACUCCUGACUGACCGAUAGUGAACCAGUACCGUGAGGGAAAGGCGAAAAGAACCCCGGCGAGGGGAGUGAAAAAGAACCUGAAACCGUGUACGUACAAGCAGUGGGAGCACAGGUUUACCUGUGUGACUGCGUACCUUUUGUAUAAUGGGUCAGCGACUUAUAUUCUGUAGCAAGGUUAACCGAAUAGGGGAGCCGGAGGGAAACCGAGUCUUAAUUGGGCGUUAAGUUGCAGGGUAUAGACCCGAAACCCGGUGAUCUAGCCAUGGGCAGGUUGAAGGUUGGGUAACACUAACUGGAGGACCGAACCGACUAAUGUUGAAAAAUUAGCGGAUGACCUGUGGCUGGGGGUGAAAGGCCAAUCAAACCGGGAGAUAGCUGGUUCUCCCCGAAAGCUAUUUAGGUAGCGCCUCGUGAAUUCAUCUCCGGGGGUAGAGCACUGUUUCGGCUAGGGGGCCAUCCCGGCUUACCAACCCGAUGCAAACUGCGAAUACCGGAGAAUGUUAUCACGGGAGACACACGGCGGGUGCUAACGUCCGUCGUGAAGAGGGAAACAACCCAGACCGCCAGCUAAGGUCCCAAAGUCAUGGUUAAGUGGGAAACGAUGUGGGAAGGCCCAGACAGCCAGGAUGUUGGCUUAGAAGCAGCCAUCAUUUAAAGAAAGCGUAAUAGCUCACUGGUCGAGUCGGCCUGCGCGGAAGAUGUAACGGGGCUAAACCAUGCACCGA
rnacentral:rRNA from 1 species